GGGGAACAGGAGGUCUCACUCUGACCCACAGACUGUUCCAGGCAAAGCAGGCCACCGUACCGAGCUCUGCCGCGCCGCGUCACAGGAAAACGACACCGAGCACAGAAGCUGCUGCAGGUCACAGAAGCCUGACCGCUGCCAGUUGUCGAGUUGACCUCUGACCUUUCCUCUGACCUGUGAGGAGCAGGGGGGCGGAGUCUCUGUCAGCACAGGAGGAGGAGACGCAGUUUAAAUUCUUCACGUUUGAUCCAGAAUGAAAACACUGAUUUAGAGGAAAAGAAUGAAGAGAAGCAGAGCAGCUGAUUGGUCGUUAAUCCUGUUACGCCUGAACGCACCUCAGGUGAGUCGCUGAGCCUGUGCUGCCUUCAGGUACCUCAAGCUGUGACCUCUGACCUCACUCAACAGGAAGUGAGUGUGUGGGUUCAAAUGUACGCGACCGCCUGAUCCCCGAGGAUUUGACUCUGAAGGGUUUGAAGUCUGCGGGCGACCUUUGACCUCCAGGACACUUUGUAGCCAAAGAACAAG